rnacentral:misc_RNA from 1 species
GGAAGUAGAAGUCGUAACAAGGUCUUCGUAGGUGAACCUGCGUAGGGAUCAUUUUUGUGAGGUUUUGUCUGGUAAUAUCUUUAUUGAUAUUAUGUCGCUAAAAGUAUUAAAAACACUUUGCCUCUUUGUGUUCCGCGACAAACACGUCGCAUAAAGAAAUUUAUGUGGUGUGCUUUUUUUUAUUAAAAAGUGCCAAACUUUUUCAAGUCUUCAUAAUGGACGACUUGGCUCUU